CUACAACUACUGCAGCAACAACGACAACUGCUCCACCAACCACCACAAGCAUGGCUUCAACUACUACAUCGACUGCCCCCACAACAACUGGGAGUGGAAUGGCUAUAGCCCUGCAAUGCUUCAACUGCAGAGGUGAUGGUUGUAUGAGUCCACCAACCAAGACAUGUGACCCAGGGGAGAUGUGUAUAACAGCUUUUAUCAGUGCUACCACAGGUGGACAAACUAUAACCCAAAUCUACAAGGACUGUGGUGCAUUGUCUCUGUGUCAAGAAUCAGGCAUUCAGACCUAUUCAGCAAACAUGGGGUUCCAACGUGUAAUUGCAUCUGCUGAGUGUUGUGACAAUGACAUGUGCAACUCAGAAACUCUAAAAUCGCCCCCUGCACAAAACAUAGAAAAAAAUCGCAGCUGUUUUAUUGUGGAUCAGGAAACUUCAAAACAGGACUCAACAGUAAAAUGUUCCGAAUUGGAGACCAACUGCUUUUCAGCAACUUUUAAUCAAAGCAACAGAAACUUUCCGAGGCUGGGCUGUGUGUCUCCAAAUAUAUGUACAGCUGCUAUGGACCUGAAUAAAUUACCGUUCCUGGAAAAUAUAGGUUCAAUCACAAGUGGACCAAGCUGUUGUGAAGGUAAUUUAUGUAAUAAUGUAAAUCGUCCACCUAGUCCAAAACCCACUACUGCAGCAACAACAACCACAACUGCACCACCAACAACUACAACUACUCC